rnacentral:rRNA from 1 species
GACGAACGCUGGCGGCGUGCUUAACACAUGCAAGUCGAACGAAGUGGCGAACGGGUGAGUAACGCGUAAUCAACCUGCCCUUCAGAGGGGUACAACAGUUGGAAACGACUGCUAAUACCGCAUACUGAAGGAGGGGAUUGCGGCUGAUUCGCUGGUUGGGGGGGUAACGGCCCACCAAGGCGAUGAUCAGUAGCCGGUCUGAGAGGAUGAACGGUCAAAUUGGGACUGGGAAACGGCCCAGACUCCGACGGGAGGCAGCAGGUGGGAAUCUUUCGAAAUGGACGAAAGUCUGACGGAGCAACGCCGCGGGAGUGAUGAAAGCCUUCGGGUUGUAAAGCUCUGUUAAGUGGGGCGCGGUACCGGAAGAGAAAGCAACGGCUAACUACGUGCCAGCAGCCGCGGUAAUAC